CUCUGUUGUCUAGAUCGAGAAAACGCAACCUACGCUAUUCAGGUGGUGGCAACAGAUGGUGGAGGUUAAAAGGUAAGAGAGAGAGAGAGAAAGUGAGAAAAAAAGUGAGAUAGUGUGUUUUUAGUGGGUGAUAGUCAGAACGGGGUCAUAACUACGGCUCUCUGUUGCCUAGAUCGUGAAAACGCAACGCUACGCUAUUCAGGUGGUGGCGACAGAUGGUGGAGGGUUAAAAGGUACAGGAACGGUACUUGUUGAGGUGUCAGAUCUGAACGACGUGUCACCAAAGUUCACACAGAGGGUAUGGUCGUUAGAGGUGGCUGAGAGUCUGACCCCUGACCACACCUUAGCCACACUCACUGUACUGGAUUACGAUGUCCGGAAUAAUUUCACAUUUAAGGUAGUGCCAGGCAGGGACGAGGGUGGCACAUGUUCGGUGGUCACAUGAGAAU